UACGUAGGGACCGAGCGUUGUCCGGAAUCAUUGGGCGUAAAGAGCGUGUAGGCGGCCAUGUAGGUCCGUUGUGAAAACUCGAGGCUCAACCUCGAGACGCCGAUGGAAACCAUGUGGCUAGAGUCCGGAAGAGGAGAGUGGAAUUCCUGGUGUAGCGGUGAAAUGCGCAGAUAUCAGGAAGAACACCCGUGGCUAAGGCGGCUCUCUAGUACGGUACUGACGCUGAGACGCGAAAGCGUGGGGAGCGAACAGG
rnacentral:rRNA from 1 species